AACCUCCGCAAUGUGAGAAAUCGCGACGGGGGGAUCCCAAGUGCCAUUCUUAACGGGAUGGCUUUUCAUUAGUGUAAAAAGCUUUUGGAAUAAGAGCUGGGCAUGACCGGUGCCAGCCGCCGCGGUAACACCGGCAGCUCUAGUGGUAGCUGUUUUUAUUGGGCCUAAAGCGUUCGUAGCCGGUUUGAUAAGUCACUGGUGAAAUCCUGUAGCUUAACUGUGGGAAUUGCUGGUGAUACUGUUGAACUUGAGGUCGGGAGAGGUUAGCGGUACUCCCAGGGUAGAGGUGAAAUUCUGUAAUCCUGGGAGGACCACCUGUGGCGAAGGCGGCUAACUGGAACGAACCUGACGGUGAGGGACGAAAGCUAGGGGCGCGAACCGGAUUAGAUACCCGGGUAGUCCUAGCCGUAAACGAUGCGGACUUGGUGUUGGGAUGGCUUUGAGCCGCUCCGGUGCCGAAGGGAAGCUGUUAAGUCCGCCGCCUGGGAAGUACGGUCGCAAGACUGAAACUUAAAGGAAUU
rnacentral:rRNA from 1 species